UACGGGGGGGGGCAAGCGUUGUUCGGAAUUACUGGGCGUAAAGGGUGCGCAGGCGGCGUCGCAAGUCAGGCGUGAAAUCCCCGGGCUUAACCUGGGAACUGCACUUGAAACUACGAUGCUGGAGUAUGGCAGAGGGAGGUGGAAUUCCCGGUGUAGCGGUGAAAUGCGUAGAGAUCGGAAGGAACGUCAAUGGCGAAGGCAGCCACCUGGCAUAAUACUGACGCUGAAGCGCGAAAAGCGUGGGGAGCGAACAGG
rnacentral:rRNA from 1 species